AAAAAAAUAAGCAACAUUGUCACAAAAAUUCAGCCCAUAAACACACAAAAGCCAACCUAUAAGCAUCACAGUCUUAUAUAUAAAACUUGAUAUAUAAAUUCCCAGCUAACAAGAUAGCACAGCUAAACACAACAACCCAGCUAAUCAGUUACUGCACCAAGGCCAUAUUCAAAACCAAAAAAAAAUUGAUGUUUCAUAAAAUGCAAAAACAUAGACAAAUAUCUAAGACAAAACCAACCAACUCAACCCAGCUAACAGAAAGCAGCAAACAAAAAAGAAUUAGGCAGUUUAAAAAAUAUAACUAUCAACAAAGUAACCCAGCUAUCAAAUUAACAGAGAGCAAUAAAACAAGAGAAAUUGUAAAACAAAACCAACCUAACAAACAGCAACACAAAAAAAUAAAAGAAAAUAACCAGCAGAUUUUAUAUAUAUAAACAUUUCAACAAAACUCAUCAAGAACACAACCCUAGUCAUAUAAGGAACUAAACACAAGAUAAAUCAUUAAAAAUAAGGAAAAC
rnacentral:lncRNA from 1 species